CUGACUGAUCUGGAAUUUAAAGUUGUAUCACUGAUUCCACAGUGCCAAAUUGAAGGGAUAACUGGUGGAUUGGAGUCUGAGGUUGAUGAAAUUUUUCAAACACUGAACAUGGUCAGUGAGAGUGGCCUUCCCACAGAAGAGUACUUUGAUUCUGCCUU
rnacentral:lncRNA from 1 species